GCCUAUAAGGUUGUAGUAUAGUGGUGAGUAUUCCCGCCUGUCACGCGGGUGACCCGGGUUUGAUCCCCGGCAACGGCG